rfam:Capsicum annuum cultivar Zunla-1 chromosome 12, whole genome shotgun sequence
GGAUGUGAUCAUGCCAGCACUAACGCACUGGAUCCCAUCAGAACUUCUAAGUUAAGCGUGCUUGGGCGAGAGUAGUACUAGGAUGGGUGACCCCAGGGAAGCCUUCGUGUUGCAUCCC